UACGGAGGGUGCAAGCGUUGUUCGGAAUCACUGGGCGUAAAGCGCGUGUAGGCGGCUAUUUAAGUCUGAUGUGAAAGCCCUGGGCUUAACUCAGGAAGUGCAUUGGAUACUGGGUAGCUCGAGUACCGGAGAGGAGGGUGGAAUUCCUGGUGUAGCGGUGAAAUGCGUAGAUAUCAGGAGGAACACCGGUGGCGAAGGCGUCCCUCUGGCCGGAUACUGACGCUGAGACGCGAAAGCGUGGGGAGCAAACAGG
rnacentral:rRNA from 1 species